GCGUCGCCCGCGCGAUCGUCUGAAGAUCGAAUCGGGGCCCCGUCGCGUCGCGGGGUCGGGUCCUCUCGCGCGGCGCGACGCGAACGGCGGCGCGCGUCCGUCGUCCCGUCGUCGUCGGGCGUCCCCCAUCGUCGCGGAGCUGAGUAGAUAACGAGACCGGUCGAUCGAUCGGUCGAUCGAACGACGCGGACGAUGACGACGCUCUCCGCGCUCGCGACGCGGUGGACGACCGCGCCCGCGCCGCCGCCCCGCGCGCGCCCCUCGCGACGACGCCGCCCCGCGCCGCGUCGACGCGUCGCGCGCGGAGGAAUCAUGGAAGACGCCGGCGUGACGUCCGCGGAUCUCGGACGCGAGCUCGCGCCGAAGCUCGCGACCGUCGCGUCGGACGCCGCGGCCGCCGCCGCCGCGAGCUCGGACUUCUCCAGGCUGUUCCCG
rnacentral:lncRNA from 1 species